rnacentral:rRNA from 1 species
GACGAACGCUGGCGGCGUGCUUAACACAUGCAAGUCGAACGGAAAGGCCCUGCUUUUGUGGGGUGCUCGAGUGGCGAACGGGUGAGUAACACGUGAGUAACCUGCCCUUGACUUUGGGAUAACUUCAGGAAACUGGGGCUAAUACCGGAUAGGAGCUCCUGCUGCAUGGUGGGGGUUGGAAAGUUUCGGCGGUUGGGGAUGGACUCGCGGCUUAUCAGCUUGUGGGUGGGGUAGUGGCUUACCAAGGCUUUGACGGGUAGCCGGCCUGAGAGGGGGACCGGCCAAAUGGGGACUGAGAUACGGCCCGGACUCCUACGGGAGGCAGCAGUGGGGAAUAUUGCACAAUGGGCGGAAGCCUGAGGCAGCAACGCCGCGUGCGGGAUGACGGCCUUCGGGUUGUAACCCGCUUUCGCCUGGGACGAAGCGUGAGUGACGGUAAUGGGUAAAGAAGCACCGGCUAACUACGUG